GACGUAGGGGGCCAGCGUUGUUCGGAAUUACUGGGCGUAAAGCGCGCGUAGACGGUUUUGUAAGUCAGAUGUGAAAUCCCUGGGCUCAACCUGGGAACUGCAUUUGAGACUGCAUGGCUAGAGUAUGGAAGAGGGAAGUGGAAUUUCCGGUGUAGCGGUGAAAUGCGUAGAUAUCGGAAGGAACACCAGUGGCGAAAGCGACUUCCUGGUCCAAUACUGACGUUCAUGUGCGAAAGCGUGGGGAGCAAACAGG
rnacentral:rRNA from 1 species